ACUCCUACGGGUAGGCAGCAGUGGGGAAUAUUGCUCAAUGGGCGCAAGCCUGAAGCAGCGACGCCGCGUGAGGGAUGAAGGCCUUCGGGUUGUAAACCUCUUUCAGCUCCGAAGAAGCGAAAGUGACGGUAGGAGCAAAAGAAGCACCGGCUAACUACGUGCCAGCAGCCGCGGUAAUACGUAGGGUGCAAGCGUUGUCCGGAUUUAUUGGGCGUAAAGAGCUCGUAGGCGGUCUGUCGCGUCUGCUGUGAAAACUCGGGGCUUAACCCCGGGCCUGCAGUGGGUACGGGCAGACUAGAGUGCGGUAGGGGAGACUGGAAUUCCUGGUGUAGCGGUGAAAUGCGCAGAUAUCAGGAGGAACACCCGGUGGCGAAGGCGGGUCUCUGGGCCGUAACUGACGCUGAGGAGCGAAAGCAUGGGUAGCGAACAGGAUUAGAUACCCUGGUAGUCCAUGCCGUAAACGUUGGGCGCUAGGUGUGGGGCUCAUUCCACGAGUUCCGUGCCGCAGCAAACGCAUUAAGCGCCCCGCCUGGGGAGUACGGCCGCAAGGCUAAAACUCAAAGGAAUUGACGGGGCCCCGCACAAGCGGCGGAGCAUGCGGAUUAAUUCGAUGCAACGCGAAGAACCUUACCAAGGCUUGACAUGCAGGGAAAUCUCACAGAGAUGUGAGGUCCGCAAGGGUCCUGCGCAGGUGGUGCAUGGUUGUCGUCAGCUCGUGUCGUGAGAUGUUGGGUUAAGUCCCGCAACGAGCGCAACCCUCGUUCUAUGUUGCCAGCGGAUAAUGCCGGGGACUCAUAGGAGACUGCCGGGGUCAACUCGGAGGAAGGUGGGGAUGACGUCAAAUCAUCAUGCCCCUUAUGUCUUGGGCUUCACGCAUGCUACAAUGGCCAGUACAAAGGGCUGCGAGACCGUAAGGUGGAGCGAAUCCCAAAAAGCUGGUCUCAGUUCGGAUUGGGGUCUGCAACUCGACCCCAUGAAGUCGGAGUCGCUAGUAAUCGCAGAUCAGCAACGCUGCGGUGAAUACGUUCCCGGGGCU
rnacentral:rRNA from 1 species